GAUGAACGCUGGCGGCGUGCCUAAUACAUGCAAGUCGAGCGAACAGACGAGGAGCUUGCUCCUCUGACGUUAGCGGCGGACGGGUGAGUAACACGUGGAUAACCUCCCUAUAAGACUGGGAUAACUUCGGGAAACCGGAGCUAAUACCGGAUAAUAUAUUGAACCGCAUGGUUCAAUAGUGAAAGACGGUUUUGCUGUCACUUAUAGAUGGAUCCGCGCCGCAUUAGCUAGUUGGUAAGGUAACGGCUUACCAAGGCAACGAUGCGUAGCCGACCUGAGAGGGUGAUCGGCCACACUGGAACUGAGACACGGUCCAGACUCCUACGGGAGGCAGCAGUAGGGAAUCUUCCGCAAAGGGCGAAAGCCUGACGGAGCAACGCCGCGUGAGUGAUGAAGGUCUUCGGAUCGUAAAACUCUGUUAUUAGGGAAGAACAAAUGUGUAAGUAACUAUGCACGUCUUGACGGUACCUAAUCAGAAAGCCACGGCUAACUACGUG
rnacentral:rRNA from 1 species